ensembl:lncRNA
CUUAACCCCAGCCUGGCUGGCUGGCUGCUUGUUUGAACGUGCAUAACCUGCCUCUGUGCAGAACGCUUUCACUUCUCCAUUUAUCGACCCAUGAGUGAUUCAUCCCACUGUAGCCUCCUCUUCUAGGUACAUUACACUCCAGUAGUUUCUCUUCAGCUUGUUCUGUCUAUGAAGUAUCUAUCAGACUCUCUCUAGAAAACUCAUUAGGACCUAUCAGGCGAGACAGUGUUAUUUCAGUUGUUAUUUUUAACCAGUAUUUGAUAUUAUUGGCAGUACUGACAGUAUCAGUAUUAGCUAAUACUACUAAGAAAUGUCUGCUUAAAAUAAAGGCAUGGUGUCUUAAACUCACAGAUUCAUCAGCGGAGGAGCUUAUGAAAAGCAGAAUUAGGACUCAAACGAAUAAGAAACUCCACAGAGAAUAAUGCGAGAUUAUCAUUUAUGGGUCUAAGAAGACAGAGGGUAUAGACGCUGGCAGUCAAGGCUGAAUUCCAUCCCCAGAUCCCAACUCAUGGAAGAUCAGACACGAAAGUGUAUGUUGGGGGAAGACAAAGACUCGUGCCCCAAUGUAAGACCUUAAGGAUGGAGGGAGAUGCUCCUGUCUGAAGCCAUCAAUUUGCCAGGCUGUUCUCUAAAAUCGGAUGGAUCUUGGGGAAUGACUACGGACCGUUGCUGACUUAACUAAAUAGUACCUGAGUUCUGAGCCUCCAGCCUGGACUCGUGCUUCAGAUAAUGAUACUACCACAAAUACAAAGUCUUCAUCUGUUGAUUUGACGAGUGUCUUUAUCCUGUUCCAGUGGGAAGAGAAACAGUCCACCUUCACCAAAUACAGGCAAGGCUGUUAACUCCUCCACCCUCGAUCAUAAUAAAAAUGAAUUAAUCGGAAUCAUUUGAAUAUCCGUUAUAACAAUGGCCUGAUCCCGUUUAUCGACCAUAUUGUACUGAUUGGAUCUGAUGAACAAAAGACAGCCACUAUGCUGAAUACCUUUGCUCCAGAAGGAGGGGGUAAAUGCUAUAAAGAC